UGCCCCCUGGCAAUCAGCAAAGAGACACCUAGUUGGUGGUGUCAUUCUUAUAUCAGUCAAGGCCAGAGCAGAUGACAGUCCUUUAUUUAUCCUAGCUUGAUGACUGGCAAGGUGGUCAAAGCAGGUUUAUGUACAGAACACAUAA